UGUAUACUCUGAAAGGUGGUCUGCUCUAACUAGCAGACAGUUGGAUGGACUACGUAGCAAACUGGAGCUGGAUAGGAGGACGUGGUUGAGUAGACACUGGUGGCUGUGGCUGAGCUGAUAGUGGAGCAGACGACUGAGGUCGAGCAGGUGGAGGUCGAGGCAUGGACUAAGGUUGGGACUGAGUAGGAACAGAAUGAGCCAUGAAAACUCUGGCGGCAGUAUCUGCUGCAGCUGCUGUUGGUAUUGCACUCGGAGCAAGUCUCUCAAGUUUUUCAAUCAGACUACCAUGGCUCCAAGUGUAGACAUAAUGUUCUACUACUAGGACUGUCCAAGUCCACUGAUAGCCCCAAGUAUCUCAGUGCCAGUCUGUCCGAAUCCUCUAAUAGCAAUAAAUAUCUCAGUACUCCUAUACUCAAAACUCUUUCUGAGUCAUGCAAUCUCUCCUGCCACAUCAAAAACAUCAGUUGAUGCCUCUAUCCUCAACUCUUGCUACUCCAAGGUGGUGAGCCUAUUUGCCAUACAUCUCAUCUCAACCUGAAUACUCUCGACCUUCUCAGAUAAUCCUGCUAU
rnacentral:lncRNA from 1 species